UGCAGCCUCUGUUGUGUCUG
rnacentral:misc_RNA from 1 species